UACGUAGGGGGCAAGCGUUGUCCGGAAUCAUUGGGCGUAAAGCGCGCGUAGGCGGCCUGCCAAGUCCGGGGUGAAAGCCUCCAGCUUAACUGGAGAAGUGCCCUGGAUACUGGCGGGCUCGAGGGAGGCAGGGGUCGUGGGAACUUCCGGUGGAGCGGUGAAAUGCGUUGAUAUCGGAAGGAACGCCGGUGGCGAAAGCGCACGACUGGUCCUCUUCUGACGCUGAGGCGCGAAAGCCAGGGGAGCAAACGGG
rnacentral:rRNA from 1 species